rnacentral:rRNA from 1 species
UACGAGGGGGGCGAGCGUUGUUCGGAAUUAUUGGGCGUAAAGAGCUCGUAGGCGGUUUGUCGCGUCUGCCGUGAAAGUCCGGGGCUCAACUCCGGAUCUGCGGUGGGUACGGGCAGACUAGAGUGAUGUAGGGGAGACUGGAAUUCCUGGUGUAGCGGUGAAAUGCGCAGAUAUCAGGAGGAACACCGAUGGCGAAGGCAGGUCUCUGGGCAUUAACUGACGCUGAGGAGCGAAAGCAUGGGGAGCGAACAGG